rnacentral:lncRNA from 1 species
CAACCCCAAAAAACACACCUCAAGUUAUUCAAGGCAUGGAAAAAUUCUUUGUUUUGCUUGAUUAGACUUGGUUCAGAAUUGCUGCAAACCCCUUGCUUAGUAGCAGAAUGUUGACUGAAGCUCUCUGCCUUCCACCAUGAGGGGGAGGAGAAAGCCCUGUCAAAACCCACAAGGAAUCUUUUUCUUGUUUUUAAUCAUCUCACACAGUGCUGAAUAGUUUAUCUCUCAUAGGAGCUGUCUUCUUUGUUCUCUGUUAUGAAGUGAAGGGGCGGGGGAGACAGUCUGCUCUCAGCCGAAUCAAAUACAGUUUUGCAAGGUAACCAGGGAGCUGAGCCUUCUUCCUACCCCUGGUGAAACACUGUGUCUGGGGAACUGCUCCACUGCAGACUUGCUGCCUUCAUCUGACUUGGUGCCAAGACCCCAAAUGAGCCUUACCCGGGUAACCCAAAACCAAGGAGAGAAAAAUGAAGUCCAGGAGGAGUUUAUUUAUGAGCCCCAAUUAGAUAACCUGAAUAUUGCAUCCAAAUGGUGGAGCCCCUCUUCAUGGCUCACAGCCUUCCCCAAGAUAAGUCGGUAAUGAGACACACAAAUCGCUGAUACCUUCGCCCUCACCAAUUCAACAAUUGUGGGAUUCUGAACUAUUAAUAAAAUGUAACAAAAUAUUCCAACGUGAAUUGUAGCGUGAAAAGAGAUUUUAAAAUGUCAAGCCUUCUCUGUGAACCUUCAAAAUGAAAAGUGAAAUGAUAGAUGGCAGAGGGACACAGAACAACUACGAUUUGUAGACUUUGAAGUAAUUUCAGAAGUUUCCUGUUGCCUCAUAUCAUUUUUUAAUAAUUAGAAAAGAUAAUGUUGUUGAUUUCACAUGGUCUGUUGUCAGUGUGCUUGUGGGAAUACCUGGCAUGUAAUUUGGUUGCCUUACUUAUUAGGCUUCAUUGAUGUCCACUUGAGAUCUGGCUUUUGUGCAAAAUAUAGACCCAGUGUUUUCUUUUUGGUUCCUCAGAAGGUUGUAAGGAUGCCUUGACACUUUAUAAUAAAUUGCUAAAAUACUAUGCCACAUUUAUAUAUUUAGGGGGCAAUACAUUGUUUAAUAUGUGUGUGUGUAUAUAUAUAUACAUAUAUAUUCCAUGGUAUUGGAUGAGCAACAAUUGAAAUCCUGCUGUUCAGGAGGCAAAGUGCCCUUCUCCUCUGCAUAAUAAAUAGCAAAUCUUCAUUGUUUGUCAUCUGCCUUCUCACUGUCCUGAUAGCUUCUCAUGUGAAACAAAUUAAUCCAUGUUCAGCUCUAAAGGAGAUAGCAGGAUGUGAUAGAAAUGGCGCUGGAUUUGCAGUUAAAAGAACCUGAUCUAACCCAUUUACCGGCUAUCUGAACUUGAAUAAGGCAUGUAUUUUGAGCUUAUCAUAUAGAGGUAAAACUAUCCUGACUGACUCCCUCUGAGAGUCACCUUGAGAAACAAAUGAGGUAACAUACGUGGACUACUUUAUGAAAUGGGCUGCAUGAUGCAAAGUCGAAGUAUUAUUGGCAGGGGCAAGGAAUGUGGAACCUAUCCCCAGGGUUCAGCCAUGUCUGAAACUGACUACUGAAUGGUGAAGCAAUUCUCCCAGGAGUCUGUUUGCGUAAGAGACUUGGCGCCUGCGUGAAUCAAAGCCAUAAUAAGAGAUGAUGAGACUGGCAGUAAAAACAAAAACAAAACAAGCUUUGAUCACUUGCAAAAGUGAAAGAUUAUGAAACCAGUGCAAGAACUCUCAUUAGAUUUCUCUUCUGGUUCCAUCGCUUUGGCCUCUUCUAUGAGUCACAUGGAAAGAGGGUAGGGAAGUUCUGAACAAAGGCUGGUAGAGCCUGUAAGAUAUUUGGAAAAGCAGCAGCUCUUAGAGAUCAUU